rnacentral:rRNA from 1 species
AUACGUAGGGUGCGAGCGUUGUCCGGAAUUACUGGGCGUAAAGAGCUCGUAGGUGGUUUGUCGCGUCGUCUGUGAAAUUCCGGGGCUUAACUCCGGGCGUGCAGGCGAUACGGGCAUAACUUGAGUACUGUAGGGGAGACUGGAAUUCCUGGUGUAGCGGUGAAAUGCGCAGAUAUCAGGAGGAACACCGGUGGCGAAGGCGGGUCUCUGGGCAGAAACGGACGCUGAGGAGCGAAAGCAUGGGUAGCGAACAGGAUUAGAUACCCUGGUAGUCCAGGCCGUAAACGGUGGGCGCUAGGUGUAGGGGUCUUCCACGACUUCUGUGCCGUAGCUAACGCAUUAAGCGCCCCGCCUGGGGAGUACGGCCGCAAGGCUAAAACUCAAAUGAAUUGACGGGG